GCCCCCGUAGCUCAGCAGGAUAGAGCGUCGGUUUCCUAAACCGCAGGCCGCCCGUUCGAGUCGGGCCGGGGGUA
rnacentral:tRNA from 1 species